rnacentral:rRNA from 1 species
GACGAACGCUGGCGGCGUGCUUAACACAUGCGAGUCGAACGGAAAGGCCCUGCUUUUGUGGGGUGCUCGAGUGGCGAACGGGUGAGUAACACGUGAGUAACCUGCCCUUGACUUUCGGAUAACUUCAGGAAACUGGGGCUAAUACCGGAUAGGAGCUCCUGCUGCAUGGUGGGGGUUGGAAAGUUUCGGCGGUUGGGGAUGGACUCGCGGCUUAUCAGCUUGUUGGUGGGGUAGUGGCUUACCAAGGCUUUGACGGGUAGCCGGCCUGAGAGGGUGACCGGCCACAUUGGGACUGAGAUACGGCCCAGACUCCUACGGGAGGCAGCAGUGGGGAAUAUUGCACAAUGGGCGGAAGCCUGAUGCAGCAACGCCGCGUGCGGGAUGACGGCCUUCGGGUUGUAAACCGCUUUCGCCUGUGACGAAGCGUGAGUGACGGUAAUGGGUAAAGAAGCACCGGCUAACUACGUG